AAGUUUCUUCAGGGCAGGGUGAAAAUCCCUACCGGCGGUAAAGCCCGCGAGCUAUUUUUAGCAUGAUUCGGUGAAAUUCCGAGGCCGACAGUAUAGUCUGGAUGAGAGAAGAAAAAU
rfam:Clostridium chauvoei JF4335, WGS project CBML01000000 data, contig: 00001